GACGAACGCUGGCGGCAUGCCUAACACAUGCAAGUCGAGCGAGCAGAUCCCUUCGGGGUGAAGCUAGCGGCGGACGGGUGAGUAACACGUGGGCAACCUGCCUCAUAGAGGGGAAUAGCCUUCCGAAAGGAAGAUUAAUACCGCAUAAGAUUGUAGCUUCGCAUGAAGCAGCAAUUAAAGGAGCAAUCCGCUAUGAGAUGGGCCCGCGGCGCAUUAGCUAGUUGGUGAGGUAACGGCUCACCAAGGCGACGAUGCGUAGCCGACCUGAGAGGGUGAUCGGCCACAUUGGGACUGAGACACGGCCCAGACUCCUACGGGAGGCAGCAGUGGGGAAUAUUGCACAAUGGGGGAAACCCUGAUGCAGCAAUGCCGCGUGAGUGAUGACGGCCUUCGGGUUGUAAAGCUCUGUCUUCGGGGACGAUAAUGACGGUACCCGAGGAGGAAGCCACGGCUAACUACGUGCCAGCCGCCGCGGUAA
rnacentral:rRNA from 1 species